rnacentral:rRNA from 1 species
CACUCCUACGGGAGGCAGCAGUGGGGAAUAUUGGACAAUGGGCGCAAGCCUGAUCCAGCCAUGCCGCGUGAGUGAUGAAGGCCCUAGGGUUGUAAAGCUCUUUCGCCGGUGAAGAUAAUGACGGUAACCGGAGAAGAAGCCCCGGCUAACUUCGUGCCAGCAGCCGCGGUAAUACGAAGGGGGCUAGCGUUGUUCGGAUUUACUGGGCGUAAAGCGCACGUAGGCGGACUAUUAAGUCAGGGGUGAAAUCCCGGGGCUCAACCCCGGAACUGCCUUUGAUACUGGUAGUCUUGAGUUCGAGAGAGGUGAGUGGAAUUCCGAGUGUAGAGGUGAAAUUCGUAGAUAUUCGGAGGAACACCAGUGGCGAAGGCGGCUCACUGGCUCGAUACUGACGCUGAGGUGCGAAAGCGUGGGGAGCAAACAGGAUUAGAAACCCUAGUAGUCCCA